UAAGUAGUAGAGUUUGAACCGAGAUUUGAGCUUCCUGAAAGGAACACUCCAGGCAAGUCCAAGAACGUGGAAAGUUUGGAGCUGGAACAACCAAUUGGCGAUAGUCAUUAGAAAUACAAUGUGCAACCACUGACAUUGCUCCCUGAAGAACAGGAGGAGAGAAGACGGUUCCAUGAAGCAUAGUUAAUCCCACACGUUAACCCCAGAACCACCGCAUCCAGGAAUUUGGAAGAUAACAUACACCAAGGGGAAGAAAGUAGCAACCUUCAGAACCACCUUUGUGUUCAUUUGCAGAGACACCAAAUAGGCUGCAAGGAGUUCGGAGGUUUUAUUUAUGGACACAUGGACGUAUAUCCACACCUUCCAAGCCUUGCUGGAAAAAAAAUCUCCGUUAAAGGGAUCUUUACUCUGGGGAAAAGACUUACAGAGUUUUACUUGGCUGUCAGCUUAAGAAUUCAUUCUAGGAUGGGCUGAUAUUCACAAACAAACGUUUCUGAAGCAAUUAUUUAAACUGUUUAUUGAUGAAUUGAAUAUUCGAGUCCAGAAAAGUGAAGGAAGGGGGAAUUGCCUGUAUUCCCACAUUAGCCGUUAGGAAUGUACAGAGGCAGGAAGAAUUUCAAUUGUUUUGCUGGUGAGAGUGAAGUCAAAAUGUGUCAAAGCUGCUGCCUCCUUCUGUGGCCCAUGUGGAUACUUGUCCCUGAGGAGGAGAGUGUCACUUCACACAUCAGAGACGCCAUCUGAGAGGACGUCUGUCCUGAAGGAUGGUCACUAGAACAGCUCUGUGUCAUCAUCGAGAGGCACUGCCGGGCAGGACCACCUUCUCCUUCAUCUCGAAGCAGCAAAUAGGAUCUGCGGAGCCUUCUGCGUCCAGCACCUGAGUUCCCUCAUCUCCCCCUGCCGAGCUGCUGCAGAAGCACGCUCUCUUCCCAGUGACAAGACCGUGGAGGUCAUCUGAGUGGGCGGCUCUCAGAACCCAUUAGCAACCCCGCAGCCCAAGCCACCCUGGCUUGUGAUUUCCAUGGUGGAGGCGGAAGGCAGGGACCGCCACCCGGGAGAAUGGCCUACGGCAGCAGAGCUUGGAGCAGAGCCGGGACCUCAGUUCCUGGCCCUCAGACCAUAUCUCGCCUCUGUGCAGCAUUCCCUCCCCAGCCACUGCGGCUCUGCCUCUCAGGCCCCAGGCUGCCCUGGGAUGGGCAGAGUCGGCAGCCUCCCCCCCCACCCCCGCUCCUCUGCAGAA